rnacentral:rRNA from 1 species
UACGGAGGGUGCGAGCGUUGUCCGGAUUUAUUGGGCUUAAAGGGUGCGCAGGCGGCCUGGUCAGUCAGUGGUGAAAUGCGGCCGCUCAACUGUCGAACUGCCAUUGAUACUGCCUGGCUUGAGAGGGGUGGAGGCCGCCGGAACGGACGGUGUAGCGGUGAAAUGCAUAGAUAUCGUCCAGAACGCCGAUUGCGAAGGCAGGUGGCUGGGCUUCGUCUGACACUGAGGCACGAAAGCGUGGGGAGCGAACAGG